rnacentral:rRNA from 1 species
GACGAACGCUGGCGGCGCGCCUAACACAUGCAAGUCGAACGAGCAAAGAGGAGCUUGCUUCUCUGAGCGAGUGGCGAACGGGUGAGUAACGCGUGAGGAACCUGCCUCAAAGAGGGGGACAACAGUUGGAAACGACUGCUAAUACCGCAUAAGCCCACGGGUCGGCAUCGACCAGAGGGAAAAGGAGCAAUCCGCUUUGAGAUGGCCUCGCGUCCGAUUAGCUAGUUGGUGAGGUAAUGGCCCACCAAGGCGACGAUCGGUAGCCGGACUGAGAGGGUGAACGGCCACAUUGGGACUGAGACACGGCCCAAACUCCUACGGGAGGCAGCAGUGGGGAAUAUUGCACAAUGGGGGAAACCCUGAUGCAGCGACGCCGCGUGAGUGAUGAAGUAUUUCGGUAUGUAAAACUCUAUCAGCAGGGAAGAUAAUGACGGUACCUGACUAAGAAGCACCGGCUAAAUACGUGCCAGCAGCCGCGG